rnacentral:rRNA from 1 species
ACCCGCUGAACUUAAGCAUAUCAAUAAGCGGAGGAAAAGAAACCAACAGGGAUUGCCCUAGUAACGGCGAGUGAAGCGGCAACAGCUCAAAUUUGAAAUCUGGCCUCGGCCCGAGUUGUAAUUUGCAGAGGAUGCUUCUGGCGCGGUGCCUUCCGAGUUCCCUGGAACGGGACGCCACAGAGGGUGAGAGCCCCGUAUGGUCGGACACCAAGCCUGUGUGAAGCUCCUUCGACGAGUCGAGUAGUUUGGGAAUGCUGCUCUAAAUGGGAGGUAAAUCUCUUCUAAAGCUAAAUACCGGCCAGAGACCGAUAGCGCACAAGUAGAGUGAUCGAAAGAUGAAAAGCACCUUGAAAAGGGGGUUAAAUAGUACGUGAAAUUGUUGAAAGGGAAGCACUUGUGACCAGACNNGGGCCGGGCGGCUCAUCAGGGGUUCUCCCCUGUGCACUCCGCCCGGCACAGGCCAGCAUCGGUUCUCGUGGGGGGAUAAGACCGUCAGGAACGUAGCACCCUCCGGGGUGUGUUAUAGCCUGGCGGACGAUACCCCCGUGGGGACCGAGGUUCGCGCUCCGCAAGGAUGCUGGCGUAAUGGUCACCAGUGACCCGUCUUGAAACACGGACCAAGGAGUCGUCCAUUAGAGCGAGCGUUUGGGUGUAAAACCCGCACGCGUAAUGAAAGUGAACGCAGGUGAGAGCUUCGGCGCAUCAUCGACCGAUCCUGAUGUUCUCGGAAGGAUUUGAGUAAGAGUUUUAACGGACGGACCCGAAAGACAGUGAACUAUGCUUGUAUAGGGUGAAGCCAGAGGAAACUCUGGUGGAGGCUCGCAGCGGUUCUGACGUGCAAAUCGAUCGUCAAA